rnacentral:rRNA from 16 species
GGAUGCGAUCAUACCAGCACUAAAGCACCGGUUCCCAUUAGAACUCCAAAGUUAAGCGUGCUUGGGCGAGAGUAGUACUAGGAUGGGUGACCUCUUCGGAAGUCCACUUGUUGCAUUCC